AGACAGAGACAGAGACAGAGACAGAGACAGAGGCAGAGACAGAGGCAGAGACAGAGACACACAGAGACAGAGACAGAGACAGAGACAGAGACAGAGACAGAGACAGAGACAGAGGCAGAGACAGAGGCAGAGACAGAGACAGAGACAGAGGCAGAGACAGAGACAGAGACACACAGAGGCAGAGACAGAGACAGAGACACACAGAGGCAGAGACAGAGACAGAGACACACAGAGGCAGAGGCAGAGGCAGAGGCAGAGGCAGAGGCAGAGGCAGAGGCAGAGACAGAGACACACAGAGGCAGAGGCAGAGACAGAGACACGCAGAGGCAGAGACAGAGACACACAGAGACACACAGAGACACACAGAGACAGAGACAGAGACAGAGACAGAGGCAGAGGCAGAGACAGAGGCAGAGGCAGAGACAGAGACACACAGAGACAGAGACAGAGACAGAGACAGAGACAGAGACAGAGACAGAGGCAGAGGCAGAGGCAGAGACAGAGACAGAGACAGAGACAGAGACAGAGACAGAGACAGAGACAGAGGCAGAGGCAGAGGCAGAGGCAGAGACACACAGAGACAGAGACAGAGACAGAGACACACAGAGACAGAGACAGAGGCAGAGACAGAGGCAGAGGCAGAGGCAGAGGCAGAGGCAGAGACAGAGGCAGAGACAGAGGCAGAGACACACAGAGGCAGAGCGCUGCUGCUGCUGUUGGGGUGGGUUGACCUGUCUGUCUGUCUGUCUGUCUGUCUGUCUGUGGAGAUGAUGUGUGGACCUGUCUGUCUGUCUGUCUGUCUGUCUGUCUGUCUGCCUGUAGAGAUGAUGUGUGGACCUGUCUGUCUGUCUGUCUGUCUGUCUGUCUGCCUGUAGAGAUGAUGUGUGGACCUGUCUGUCUGUCUGUCUGUCUGUCUGUCUGUCUGUCUGUGGAGAUGAUGUGUGGACCUGUCUGUCUG
ensembl:lncRNA